GAUUUCUGGCCAGCCUCGCCCCGCCCGCCACGGUUACGUGUGUGAGUGCGGGGUCGGAGCUACCAUCCUUCUAGCGUGGCGCGAAGCCCUUCUUCACUGAGGGGACGCGCGCACACACUAGAUCUUUUACUUUGAAAAAAUUAGAGUGUUUCAAGCAGGCGUUUUGCUAUGAAUACAUUAGCAUGGAAUAAUAACUUAGGACUUCUGUCCUAUUUUGUUGGUGUUCUAGGACUCAAGUAAUGAUUGAUAGGGAUAGUUGGGGGUGCUAGUAUUCAGUGGCCAGAGGUGAAAUUCUUGGAUUCCCUGAAGACUAACUAAUGCGAAAGCAUU
rnacentral:rRNA from 1 species